rnacentral:lncRNA from 1 species
UUUUAGACAUGCCCUAAGAGGUGUUUAGCUUUUAAGAAUUAACCCUUGGUGUGUCAUGCUCAUUUUCACGAAAAGCUUCUGAAGAAAAAUAAGGAGGUAAAAAUGAAGACGAUGAAGAUAAAGAAGAGGUAGUAAAAGAGUGCUUAGAUUUAACUGCUUUAUUUUCUAAUAAUAUCAUAGCUAUUUUAGUUACACAUUGAUUUGAAAAAUGUCCAUAUCCAAAACAUUUAUGACAUUUGAUAGAGC